UACGGGGGGGGCAAGCGUUGUUCGGAAUUACUGGGCGUAAAGGGCUCGUAGGCGGCCAACUAAGUCGGAUGUGAAAGCCCUGGGCUCAACCUAGGAAGUGCACUCGAAACUGCAAGGCUGGAGUCCUGGAGAGGAAGGCGGAAUUCUCGGUGUAGAGGUGAAAUUCGUAGAUAUCGAGAGGAACACCGGUGGCGAAGGCGGCCUUCUGGACAGUGACGGACGCUGAGACGCGAAAGCGUGGGGAGCAAACAGG
rnacentral:rRNA from 1 species